rnacentral:tRNA from 1 species
AGUUAGGUGACCGAAGUUUUAGGUGUAGGUCUUUUAAACCUAUUAUAGUACACAUACUCCUUGCUG